rnacentral:rRNA from 1 species
UGGGAAUUUGGACAAUGGGCGAAAGCCUGAUCCAGCAAUGCCGCGUGUGUGAAGAAGGCCUUCGGGUUGUAAAGCACUUUUGUCCGGAAAGAAAUCCUUGGCUCUAAUACAGUCGGGGGAUGACGGUACCGGAAGAAUAAGCACCGGCUAACUACGUGCCAGCAGCCGCGGUAAUACGUAGGGUGCAAGCGUUAAUCGGAAUUACUGGGCGUAAAGCGUGCGCAGGCGGUUUGCUAAGACCGAUGUGAAAUCCCCGGGCUCAACCUGGGAACUGCAUUGGUGACUGGCAGGCUAGAGUAUGGCAGAGGGGGGUAGAAUUCCACGUGUAGCAGUGAAAUGCGUAGAGAUGUGGAGGAAUACCGAUGGCGAAGGCAGCCCCCUGGGCCAAUACUGACGCUCAUGCACGAAAGCGUGGGGAGCAAACAGGAUUAGAUACCCUGGUAGUCCACGCCCUAAACGAUGUCAACUAGUUGUUGGGGAUUCAUUUCCUUAGUAACGUAGCUAACGCGUGAAGUUGACCGCCUGGGGAGUACGGUCGCAAGAUUAAAACUC